GAUGAACGCUGGCGGCGUGCUUAACACAUGCAAGUCGAACGAUGAAGCCCAGCUUGCUGGGUGGAUUAGUGGCGAACGGGUGAGUAACACGUGAGUAACCUGCCCUUAACUCUGGGAUAAGCCUGGGAAACUGGGUCUAAUACCGGAUAGGAGCGUCCACCGCAUGGUGGGUGUUGGAAAGAUUUAUCGGUUUUGGAUGGACUCGCGGCCUAUCAGCUUGUUGGUGAGGUAAUGGCUCACCAAGGCGACGACGGGUAGCCGGCCUGAGAGGGUGACCGGCCACACUGGGACUGAGACACGGCCCAGACUCCUACGGGAGGCAGCAGUGGGGAAUAUUGCACAAUGGGCGAAAGCCUGAUACAGCGACGCCGCGUGAGGGAUGACGGCCUUCGGGUUGUAAACCUCUUUCAGUAGGGAAGAAGCGAAAGUGACGGUACCUGCAGAAGAAGCACCGGCUACUACGUG
rnacentral:rRNA from 1 species